rnacentral:rRNA from 1 species
CACGUAGGGUGCGAGCGUUGUCCGGAAUUAUUGGGCGUAAAAGAGCUCGUAGGCGGUGUGUCGCGUCGGCCGUGAAAACCUGCAGCUUAACUGUGGGCGUGCGGUCGAUACGGGCAUCACUGGAGUUCGGCAGGGGAGACUGGAAUUCCUGGUGUAGCGGUGAAAUGCGCAGAUAUCAGGAGGAACACCGGUGGCGAAGGCGGGUCUCUGGGCCGAUACUGACGCUGGAGGAAGCGAAAGCGUGGGGGAGCAAACAGG